rnacentral:rRNA from 1 species
UACGAAGGGGGCUAGCGUUGUUCGGAAUUACUGGGCGUAAAGCGCGCGCAGGCGGUCCUUCAAGUCAGAGGUGAAAGCCCAGGGCUCAACCCUGGAAUUGCCUUUGAGACUGAGGGACUUGGGUACGGGAGAGGUGAGUGGAAUUCCGAGUGUAGAGGUGAAAUUCGUAGAUAUUCGGAAGAACACCAGUGGCGAAGGCGGCUCACUGGCCCGUUACCGACGCUCAGGCGCGACAGCGUGGGGAGCAAACAGG